AUUCCAUAAUGAGGGCAUCUUCGUAAUAGUUCUUUGAAUCUUUCUGACACCUCAUACAAGGACUCAUCAUCCAUCUAUUAAAAGGUAGUGAUCUCAUUCCUCAACUU
rfam:Gossypium arboreum cultivar AKA8401 contig_77517_1, whole genome shotgun sequence.